CUCCUGCUGGAGGUCCCUGUAUGACUGAGGUCUUCUGAAGAGUCUCUUCAGAAGUAGAGAGAUUCUGAUACUUCUGUGUUGCUCGGACCCUAAAAUCCCAGAUCCUUAAAUCCUGCUUUUUAAGGUUCCCACUUCAGGAACACAUCUUGCAGGGUAGGGCUGUUGGCCACCAGGGUGCUGUGAAGAGUGGGUACCUGGACUGGAGACGAAAGGCUGCUGUAGAAGAGGUGGCUGAACAGAGGAUCCAAGCUGGCAUUUUUGGUGAAGAAGAAACUGGGAUACAGUAAGGAAGAAUUAAAUGGAAAAAAAAGAAGGCAUGCAAACAUCUGGAAAGGGAGGUUAAGGUAUGACCUUACUGUAGAAUGGAAGAAAAAGGAGUGGAGAAGAUGUCUGGAAGAAGGGUGUAAUGUGCUGAGAAAAGUGAUUUGUUCCUCGGGCUUGGUCUGGAUGACAGAUGGGAGGCUGCAGUGAGGAAGGAGACACAGAAGGGAGAAGGGGCAGGCAGAAGAGUGAGCAGGACCUCGGGUGGGCAGCAGAGGGGAGGUGACAGGCAGUAUUGUUUGGGGCUGCCAGCUCUCCUGGGUGAUGUGGUGGCAUUGUCAGCAGUGGGAUUUUGUCAGGGGUGGCAGGUGACAAGGUGUGGGCAAUAUGGAGCAGAAAGAGCUCCUCCCUUACUGCUGAUGUGGGAGGGAUGAGUUCAGUUUUGUUCUCUCAGUGCAGUUUCUCAAAAUCCAGGGCCAUCUGGACACAGUCCUGUCCCUCACACAAGCUGUUGCCCAAGGAUUGCUCUGGCAGCAGCGACUAGCUGGCAUGUCUGGGAGUCUCCAUGCUCAUGGCCAGGAGGGCAGAUGGCACUGGAUUCACUACAGUGGCUUUGCAGCACCUGGUGCCACCAUCUGGGGGGGGUGGCGUCCAUCAGAGCCAGGUGAGACUUGCCCUGGGCACUGCAGUGCCCAGCAAAGUAGUGCAGGGCUGCUCUGCCACAGUGACCCAGCAGGAUCCCAGACACCUUCAGUAUCACUGGUGCAGAUAUUUGGGGAUUGGUAUGCUCCUUUCCAGCUGGCCUUGUAGUGUUGGGCCUCACCAAAGGGCUGCCUGAAGUGGUUGGUGAAGGAGAACAGUGGAGCUCAGCUGACAUCACUUCAGCAAUGUGUUUAUAGUGACAGAUUCUUCAGCCCACUGCCCUUGGUGUUCAAUAAAUGGGUAUGGAGAAGAGUCACUCAAAGCGUUGGUCACUCUGCUCAUGCACACCUACACAUCAGGGAUUGUUUUGUUCAAGGAACAUUUUAUUAGUGCUUCAUCCCAGUAAUGAUGCUUGUUUUUUAUAGCAUCUGUGGUAUGGAAUUUGUCAAAAAAUAAAAUGCUUUUGUGU